rnacentral:tRNA from 1 species
CAUUAAAUAUCUUAUUAAAAGAAUUAAACUUUUAAUUUAAAAAAUAAUAUUUUAAAUAUUUUUAAUGA